rnacentral:rRNA from 1 species
UACGUAGGGUGCGAGCGUUGUCCGGAAUUAUUGGGCGUAAAGAGCUCGUAGGCGGUCUGUCGCGUCGAUCGUGAAAACUUGGGGCUUAACCCUGAGCUUGCGGUCGAUACGGGCAUGACUGGAGUUCGGCAGGGGAGACUGGAAUUCCUGGUGUAGCGGUGAAAUGCGCAGAUAUCAGGAGGAACACCGGUGGCGAAGGCGGGUCUCUGGGCAGUAACUGACGCUGAGGAGCGAAAGCGUGGGGAGCGAACAGG